GCUGGAGUAGCUCAGUUGGUAGAGCAACGGUUUUGUAAACCGUAGGUCGUGGGUUCAAGUCCCGUCUCCAGCUCCA
rnacentral:tRNA from 1 species